UACGAAGGGUGCAAGCGUUACUCGGAAUUACUGGGCGUAAAGUGUGCGCAGGCGGCCGAGCAAGUCGAGUGUGAAAGCCCCGAGCUUAACUUGGGAACUGCGCUCGAAACUACUUGGCUAGAGUGUGGCAGAGGGAGGUGGAAUUCCACGUGUAGCGGUGAAAUGCGUAGAGAUGUGGAGGAACACCGAUGGCGAAGGCAGCCUCCUGGGCCAACACUGACGCUCAUGCACGAAAGCGUGGGGAGCAAACAGG
rnacentral:rRNA from 1 species